CUUGCAUGGCUUAUGCGUACAACCCCUAUUCUUCCAGUCACAUCCUUUGAGAAUACUGCGCAAACUACGUCGUAAAUUCUAUCUAAAGCUAAAUAUUCCUGAGAGACCGAUAGCGAACAAGUACCCUGAAAGAAAGAUGAAAAGAACUUUGAAAAGAGAUUUAAAGAGUACCCGAAACUGAUCAAAGGGAACCGUAUCGUUUUUAGUGUGUAUAAUAUGUCAUAUAUCAUCAUUGGCAAAUAAGUGUGUGCAUGUGUUAUUCGGCAGCGGCCUUUUUUAGGCUGCCCCCGGCGUGUGUGUGCAUGUGUUUGCUGGUGCCUGUAAUGCGCUGGGACGUCAACGACAGUUCGUAUGCUGUGGGAAAUGACUGCUGAGGAGGUACGGCUUACGCUUGCGUUUGUCUCUUAUAUCUUGGCGGACUUUGUCGUGGUUGGGACUGAGGUGCCUAUAAUGUGCUUAUACGAGUGGGUCAUGCGUCUCUGUGCGCGCUGUGUGCGGAUAGCUUGCUAUGUGUGUGUGGCUGUGUGUGGAUUGAUACC
rnacentral:rRNA from 1 species